rnacentral:rRNA from 1 species
CGGCGGACGGGUGAGUAACACGUGGAUAACCUACCUAUAAGACUGGGAUAACUUCGGGAAACCGGAGCUAAUACCGGAUAAUAUAUUGAACCGCAUGGUUCAAUAGUGAAAGACGGUUUUGCUGUCACUUAUAGACGGAUCCGCGCUGCAUUAGCUAGUUGGUAAGGUAACGGCUUACCAAGGCAACGAUGCGUAGCCGACCUGAGAGGGUGAUCGGCCACACUGGAACUGAGACACGGUCCAGACUCCUACGGGAGGCAGCAGCA